CUAGCGACAGGCUAACACAUGCAAGUCGAGGGGCAGCAUAAAAGUAGCAAUACUUGGUGGCGACCGGCGCACGGGUGAGUAACGCGUAUGCAACCUACCUAUCAGAGGGGAAUAACCCGGCGAAAGUCGGACUAAUACCGCAUAAAACAGGGGCACCGCAUGGUGAUAUUUGUUAAAGAAAUUCGCUGAUAGAUGGGCAUGCGUUCCAUUAGGUAGUUGGUGAGGUAACGGCUCACCAAGCCGACGAUGGAUAGGGGAACUGAGAGGUUGGUCCCCCACACUGGUACUGAGACACGGACCAGACUCCUACGGGAGGCAGCAGUGAGGAAUAUUGGUCAAUGGGCGAGAGCCUGAACCAGCCAAGUCGCGUGAAGGAAGAAGGAUCUAUGGUUCGUAAACUUCUUUUGCAGGGGAAUAAAGUGCAGGACGUGUCCUGUUUUGUAUGUACCCUGAGAAUAAGGAUCGGCUAACUCCGUGCCAGCAGCCGC
rnacentral:rRNA from 1 species